GCUAGGCCCAGAGUUCCAUCCUUAAUCCCUGUGUCAUCUCACUACACGCACUAUGUGAUCUAUGUAUCCAUUCACAUGACCUCAACUACACUCUAUAUCGAUGAUACCAGUGUUCACAUCUCCAGUAAAGAUCUCCCUCUAGUUCCAAGCAGGACCAGUUCUUUUUGUUUAAGACAAACAGGACACCAAUAAAGACGACUGCGCAAGUUACACCUGAGUGUUGGAAAGCUCACUGGGGCAGUGGCUGGAGGGUCAAGGAGCCUGAUGGACCCAAGAAGGCAUACUAAUCAUUCAGAGGCCCAGGGCUUGCAGGGUGGUUAGCGACUAUGAAGCAGGAUCUGCAGCGAACUGAGCCUAUGCCUGAGAAAAACAAGGACAGAAGAAACAAACCAAAGAAAAAGCUGAGACAGACAGAGCCAUAUUUCCUCCCACAGUACCUCCAGCGUUGGUUUAAUCCUUGGACCACAGCACAGAUAAUUAUAAUAAUUAAUAAUCUUGAUAUUUCAGUGUUAA